rnacentral:rRNA from 1 species
UACGGAGGGUGCGAGCGUUGUCCGGAUUCAUUGGGCGUAAAGGGCGCGUAGGUGGCGUAUUCAGUCGGGCGUGAAAGAGCUGGGCUUAGCCUGGUUAAGCGUCCGGGACGGAUAGGCUGGAGUGUGGUCGAGGGAUGUGGAAUGCCGGGUGUAGUGGUGAAAUGCGUAGAGAUCCGGCGGAACACCAGUGGCGAAAGCGGCGUUCUAGGCCACAACUGACACUGAGGCGCGAGAGCGUGGGGAGCGAACCGG